rnacentral:rRNA from 1 species
GGUUAAGCGACUAAGCGUACACGGUGGAUGCCCUGGCAGUCAGAGGCGAUGAAGGACGUGCUAAUCUGCGAUAAGCGUCGGUAAGGUGAUAUGAACCGUUAUAACCGGCGAUUUCCGAAUGGGGAAACCCAGUGUGAUUCGUCACACUAUCAUUAACUGAAUCCAUAGGUUAAUGAGGCGAACCGGGGGAACUGAAACAUCUAAGUACCCCGAGGAAAAGAAAUCAACCGAGAUUCCCCCAGUAGCGGCGAGCGAACGGGGAGGAGCCCAGAGCCUGAAUCAGUGUGUGUGUUAGUGGAAGCGUCUGGAAAGGCGCGCGAUACAGGGUGACAGCCCCGUACACAAAAAUGCACAUACUGUGAGCUCGAUGAGUAGGGCGGGACACGUGGUAUCCUGUCUGAAUAUGGGGGGACCAUCCUCCAAGGCUAAAUACUCCUGACUGACCGAUAGUGAACCAGUACCGUGAGGGAAAGGCGAAAAGAACCCCGGCGAGGGGAGUGAAAAAGAACCUGAAACCGUGUACGUACAAGCAGUGGGAGCACGCUUCGGCGUGUGACUGCGUACCUUUUGUAUAAUGGGUCAGCGACUUAUAUUCUGUAGCAAGGUUAACCGAAUAGGGGAGCCGAAGGGAAACCGAGUCUUAACUGGGCGUUAAGUUGCAGGGUAUAGACCCGAAACCCGGUGAUCUAGCCAUGGGCAGGUUGAAGGUUGGGUAACACUAACUGGAGGACCGAACCGACUAAUGUUGAAAAAUUAGCGGAUGACUUGUGGCUGGGGGUGAAAGGCCAAUCAAACCGGGAGAUAGCUGGUUCUCCCCGAAAGCUAUUUAGGUAGCGCCUCGUGAAUUCAUCUCCGGGGGUAGAGCACUGUUUCGGCAAGGGGGUCAUCCCGACUUACCAACCCGAUGCAAACUGCGAAUACCGGAGAAUGUUAU